AUUGAACGCUGGCGGCAUGCCUUACACAUGCAAGUCGAACGGCAGCACGGGGCAACCUGGUGGCGAGUGGCGAACGGGUGAGUAAUGCAUCGGAACGUGCCAUUGAGUGGGGGAUAACGUAGCGAAAGUUGCGCUAAUACCGCAUAUUCUGUGAGCAGGAAAGCAGGGGACCGCAAGGCCUUGCGCUCUUUGAGCGGCCGAUGUCAGAUUAGCUAGUUGGUGAGGUAACGGCUUACCAAGGCGACGAUCUGUAGCGGGUCUGAGAGGAUGAUCCGCCACACUGGAACUGAGACACGGUCCAGACUCCUACGGGAGGCAGCAGUGGGGAAUUUUGGACAAUGGGCGCAAGCCUGAUCCAGCCAUGCCGCGUGAGUGAAGAAGGCCUUCGGGUUGUAAGG
rnacentral:rRNA from 1 species